AUUCUUUUCUUUAUAUGAUUUGGAUAACAAUGCUCCCUGCAGACCAAGAAAAUAUUUCUCCCUGUGACUUGAGUUUUGCUUGAUGAGGGAGAUGCAUGCUUCUGUAUCAAUAGUCCAAGGAUUUGUGAUCAUUGCACACAGUGUGCAGAGCAGAAUGGGUAUCCCAUAGUACCACAAGCCAUUGGACAAGUAUUCAUUUAAAAUCUCUUACUUUGUAAGACUGUCUUUUUACAGUGACAUCUCUCGCUUUGGUGAAAGACAAAAAUUAAAUACUCAAAUGCUCUUGCAUACUGUUCUAGUGAAACACAUUUCAUAUUUAGUUCUUCCCUUUUCCCCAUUCCAAUAAAUAAAGAAAUUGGAAGUUCUCAUUACACCUCCUAGGCACUAUUUGCCUUCCUUACCAGUGAAGAAAUGCUGUCACAUUGGCAGCUGUACUGUGAAUAUGACUGAAUUUUUUUGCAGAAAGGAUACUUGAUUGGAUUUGCUGUUCCUAAAAGAAAUGGAGACUCAUGCUUUCAUAGUUAGCAAGCAAUGGAAACCCCAACCAAGAUUUUCUGGUAACAUUAACUAUGAGGAAGGUAACCCAUCAAGUGAAAGUUUAUAAAAAAGGAGCACAUUUGGUGAGAGCCAAAAAAACACUGGGAUUAAAAUAAGGCAACCUGGGUUAUUCAUUGUCUUGAUAAAUUUCCAUGGCCAUUACUGAGUAGUUUCUUGAAAUAACUCUGAAGACUCUGAUGAGUAAAAUUUAUACAAUACUGACUUAGAAGAAAUAGUGAAGUGUAAGCAGAAAUCCUUUCCUUACAAUUAAGUAUUGAUCACUUUUUCUUACUACAAGAGGUAUGGGUGAAGAGCAGCUAGCAGCUCUAUAUUAUUUGUGAGAACAAGAGAGUAAAGGCUAUUCAAGAGGCCAGCUUCCUCCUCUCUUCCAAAGCCUUAGUUUGAAAAGUUUUCCUACAGGUGAAAAAAGGGAAUGAAUCUUGACCUACCACCAUACACAGCGUCCUGACCUUUUAAAGAAUAAUAUUUGUUACAUGUUGCCAGUGUUCAGAUUUUUCUUUUUGUUUUUAGAUUUUAUUCUGUUUACUAGCUGUCUUUAUGUAAUCACUUUUUUCAUGUUUGGGAUUAGUCUCCUAAUAAAACCCUCAAGUUCCAAGAAAUAUAUAGAAAAGGCAAAACUUAAUAAACAUACACAAAUAUGUGUAAUAUAUAUGUGUAUAUAUUACAUACAUAUGUAUAUAUAGCCUUAUUUCACCUAUUUGAGCACCUUUUUCUUUAAUAAAAAAGUACCUAGGGGCAGCUAGGUGAUGCAGUUGAUAGAGCAACAGCCCUGAAAUCAGGAGGACCUGGGUUCAAAUUUGAUCUCAGACACUUCCUAGCUGUGGGACCCUGGGCAAUUGCCUGGGGGGUAGGGGGAUGUAUCUAACUGUGGAGAAAGAAAGCAAUUGUCUUUACCAAUAAAAGCUCAAAUGAGAUCAUGAAGAAUUGGACACAAUUGAAAAACUGACCAAAAAAAAAUUUCCCUACUCCAAAUUCAGUGCUAAGGAUGCUUAUUAAUGAAAUCAUACCAAUUAGCAUGUGAAGUUGCUAAAUAUGAUUAAAGUCAUUAUGCCAGUACAAAAUAUGUUUUCCUUGGGAAUAGGAACAUUAGAGAAUUGAUAAUUUCAGAAGAUUGGCUGCUAAUAGCAUAAUACCACAAGAUUGGUUACUUAUAUCUAGAAGCCCAUCUACCUAACCCAUGAACUUGGAAAACAGACGAGGCCAGGACUAGUCCUGAGGAAAAUCUGAAGGAAAGUUCUGUUGUGACAAAGGGAGAAUAUCAGUGUCAUAUAACAAAGACAUAAAAAGAACCCUCUUCCACCUCAACUCCCAGCUCAGAAUAUUGGGAUAAUUUCGUACAAAUUUUGCCUUCCCAAUUUCCUUUUGGUUCCCUGACUGUCAGAACAUGUGUAUACUAUUUCCAAAGUGAUAAGUUCUACAGAUCUUCAGAAUAAAGAAACAAUAGUGUUUUGCUUAAUUUUAUUUUUUUCUCUUGUAGUUCAGCACAAUUAGAAUUCAGGUGUUUAAUUUUAGAACAUAAAGUGCCUGCUGUUUUAAGCAUUGACUUGUAUUAACAGAAUUGCAUGUCUCACUCCAGUAAGUUUAUGGGUUUCCCCAUUUCUAGAUACAUGGCUUUUAAUCAUGUAAAGUGGAAACGUUAGUUUUGUUGUGUUUUAUUACAGAUCCUUUUGUUGGAAUAAAGAUGCUGC
ensembl:lncRNA